AUACGGGGGGAGCAAGCGUUGUUCGGAAUUACUGGGCGUAAAGCGCGCGUAGGCGGUUUAAUCAGUCGGAUGUGAAAGCCCCGGGCUCAACCUGGGAACUGCAUUCGAUACUGUUAAGCUCGAGUAUGGUAGAGGGAAGUGGAAUUCCAGGUGUAGCGGUGAAAUGCGUAGAUAUCUGGAGGAACAUCAGUGGCGAAGGCGACUUCCUGGACCAAUACUGACGCUGAGGUGCGAAAGCGUGGGGAGCAAACAGGAUUAGAUACCCUAGUAGUCC
rnacentral:rRNA from 1 species